CGCUGGCGGCGUGCCUAACACAUGCAAGUCGAGCGGGGACAUACGACGGAGUCAAAGUUUCGGAUGGAGACGAAGAUGUAUGUUCUAGCGGCGGACGGGUGAGUAACGCGUGAGCAACCUGUCCCUUACAGGGGGAUAACACAGCGAAAGUUGUACUAAUACCGCAUAAGACCACGGGAGGGCAUCCUUCAGGGGUCAAAGGAGUAAUCCGGUAAGGGGUGGGCUCGCGUCCGAUUAGAUAGUUGGUGAGGUAACGGCCCACCAAGUCGACGAUCGGUAGCCGACCUGAGAGGGUGAUCGGCCACAUUGGGACUGAGACACGGCCCAAACUCCUACGGGAGGCAGCAGUGGGGAAUAUUGGGCAAUGGGGGGAACCCUGACCCAGCAACGCCGCGUGAGGGAAGAAGGUUUUCGGAUCGUAAACCUCUGUCCUUGGUGAAGAGAGAGAGACGGUAGCCAAGGAGGAAGCCCCGGCUAACUACGUGCCAGCCGCUGC
rnacentral:rRNA from 1 species